rnacentral:tRNA from 1 species
GAGCAGAUAGCACAGUGAUUAGUGCACUCCCCUGGGAUGGGGGAGACCUAGAUUCAAAUCUCUCAGCCUG